rnacentral:misc_RNA from 1 species
GAUGAAGAACGUAGCGAAAUGCGAUAAGUAAUGUGAAUUGCAGAAUUCAGUGAAUCAUCGAAUCUUUGAACGCACAUUGCGCCCGCCAGCAUUCUGGCGGGCAUGCCUGUUCGAGCGUCAUUUCAACCCUCGAGCCCCCCCGGGGGCCUCGGUGUUGGGGGACGGCACACCAGCCGCCCCCGAAAUGCAGUGGCGACCCCGCCGCAGCCUCCCCUGCGUAGUAGCACACACCUCGCACCGGAGCGCGGAGGCGGUCACGCCGUAAAACGCCCAACUUUCUUAGAGUUGACCUCGGAUCAGGUAGGAAUACCCGCUGAACUUAAGCAUAUCAAUAAGCGGGA